rnacentral:misc_RNA from 1 species
CGCACAUCGCGCCCUUUGGCAUUCCGAGGGGCAUGCCUGUUCGAGCGUCAUUACACCACUCAAGCCUGGCUUGGUAUUGGGCGAGGAGGCUUCCUCCCGCCUCAAUUUCAUCGGCUGGACGGUCCGUAUCUCAGCGUUGUGGUAUUAAAUUCGCUGGCGAGAGGGAUGGCCCGCGCCGUUAAACAUUUCUUAAGGUUGACCUCGGAUCAGGUAGGGAUACCCGCUGAACUUAA